rnacentral:rRNA from 1 species
UACGAAGGGGGCUAGCGUUGCUCGGAAUUACUGGGCGUAAAGCGCACGUAGGCGGCUUUCUAAGUCGGGGGUGAAAUCCUGGAGCUCAACUCCAGAACUGCCUUCGAUACUGGAGAGCUCGAGUCCGGGAGAGGUGAGUGGAACUGCGAGUGUAGAGGUGAAAUUCGUAGAUAUUCGCAAGAACACCAGUGGCGAAGGCGGAUCACUGGCCCGGUACUGACGCUGAGGUGCGAAAGCGUGGGGAGCAAACAGG